rnacentral:rRNA from 1 species
UACGGAGGGUGCGAGCGUUGUCCGGAAUCAUUGGGCGUAAAGGGCGCGUAGGUGGCCCGGUCAGUUCGUGGUGAAAGCGCGGGGCUCAACCCUGCGUCGGCCAUGAAUACUGCCGCGGCUGGAGCACUGUAGAGGCAGGCGGAAUUCCGGGUGUAGCGGUGGAAUGCGUAGAUAUCAAGCGGAACACCGGUGGCGAAGGCGGCCUUCUGGACAGUGACUGACGCUGAGACGCGAAAGCGUGGGGAGCAAACAGG